AGUUUCGCACAGCAAGUUGGUAAGAUUCUGUGUAUUUCUUCGUCUCAUGUGCUGAAAUUGGCAAACCUUGCUGUUGUAUUUUUAUGUAUUUUGGUUAUUUGGUGAUCGCAUUGUACUAAAGGUUUUACAAAGAGAUCAUUAGACCCUUCUUUAUAUGUGCUUUCAGUUUCUGGAUCUUUUUAGAUUUGCUUCUUUCUUUAGUAUUCUCUUGUAUUCUGAUUGUGCAAUGCUUGGAAUCUGUGACUGCGUUGUUGGAAAGUCUUAUAUAGAGAGCACAAAGGCCUCUAUUUUUUCUCUAUCUUUGUCUUCUUUAUGAAGCUAACAUUCCAGUGUUAACAAAUUACAUAAUUGUUUGAUUCUAUUUUGCAGGAUAUCGAGGAAUUGCAAUCUUUCUGGACCAAUCCCUUCAUAUGUAAAUGAAAAGCUUGAAAACCUUGCGAUUGAUGAGAGGGUUUACACAUAGGCAUGACCAAGCUGCUCAUCCAACCUGAUUCUUGGACCAAGCAUAAGUUGUGGCCCACCAACACAAGGAUGAAGAUUGCCCAAUCAAAGGAAAUCUCAGGGUUUCAUCUAUUUUGGACUCAUCAUGUGUUGUUAGUUGUUACUGAUAAAGGUCCUAGAAGGGGUCGUGUUGGUGCUGCAACUUCCA